GCUGUAUGAUGAGAUAAAGGCAAAUGUGACCCACUGGUUGGGCUGCACCCUUGACCCAUUUUCCCCCAUACAGGUCUGUAAUCUUGGUGGGCAGUGCAGAGUUGUGUGUGUGCACUGUAAGGGCAGACCGACAGAAUGUUCCACUCCCCACCCCCUUCCUGGAGGGGGUAUCCCAGCUUCUACAAAGAUUUCCUAGAGGCUGGACGGGGACCAGGGGUACAGGACAAACUUAGCAUGUCUGGGUAAUGGGUUGCAGGGUGUUGCCCAUAUUAAGACUGGUAGGGUGUGAGCACAGGUCUUUGGUAAUCUGAAAGCU
rnacentral:snoRNA from 1 species